CUAAUAUGUAUCUUAUACUUUGUAAUUAUUAUUUUGUCUCAGGGAGCGUAAACUUCACCAUGAGUGCUGCAAUAUAGAACACCAAAUUUGAGGUUCUGAUCUGAUCUCUGACCAAUCCUGUGGCAAAUCUUUUAAGAAAGGAACAGGAAUUUGCUGCUGAGUAAUAUGACUCACAAGUCAGAAACUCAAACCCCUUUACGACUAAAAGGGAUUCUUAACUAAUGUAAUCUGAUGUGAAUCAGCUUUAAUGAAUGAUAAUUAAUCGAACCAAAGCUCUAGAGUAACGGCCAAGCUGGUUAUCUUUGGAUGCUGCAUUUUAUAAGAUUGGAUAUUUCAAUGAGAUAUUUAUACUCUUUAAUUA